rnacentral:rRNA from 1 species
UACGUAGGGAGCAAGCGUUGUCCGGAAUCAUUGGGCGUAAAGCGCGCGUAGGUGGCCUCAUAAGUCCGCUGUGAAAGUCAAAGGCUCAACCUUUGAAAGCCGGUGGAUACUGUGAGGCUAGAGUACGGAAGAGGCGAGUGGAAUUCCUGGUGUAGCGGUGGAAUGCGCAGAUAUCAGGAGGAACACCAAUAGCGAAGGCAGCUCGCUGGGACGGUACUGACGCUGAGGCGCGAAAGCGUGGGGAGCAAACAGG